rnacentral:rRNA from 1 species
UUUUUGGAGAGUUUGAUCCUGGCUCAGGACGAACGCUGGCGGCGUGCCUAACACAUGCAAGUCGAACGGAGAAGUUCAAUAAGUUUACUUAGCGAAUUUCUUAGUGGCG